CUCUGUGACACGAACAUUUAACGAGAAAAAAAAAUAGUUUAGUAGGGGUUUCAGACAACACAUGACUUAUGAUUAUUUGUAUGAUACGUAAACCCAACCGCGCAGAUGUGACAGGAGCAGACCAGAUAGAUAGAGUAGAUCAAAUGGAAAUACAGAAAAAUGAGCGUGAAUUUAAAAAUAUAAUAAAAAAAAACUACAGUUAAAGUGUACAAAUUUCAAUAAUUUCCUUCCCCUUUUUUUCUCAGUGCUCUUAUUCCUUUCACUCAACAGAUUCCUCCUGAUGUUAUGGAGAUGAAAAGCGUGGGAGUUCAGACUGAUUAUCUGGAGAGUGCGAGACAGACAGACCCCUUCACUCCAGACUGUGCGGUUCGUCCUGGGACCCCACAACCCCAGCCCCCACAGAAGGAGAGAUGAUCGAGAGGGCAAGAAUGAAUAGAGUUUGGGAGGCAACUCUGGCCCCACUGAAAGACCUCUCUCAGCUGGACAAGAAGAGAAGGAUGAUGGAGGAGAUGGAGAGGAAGGAGAAAGAGAACAUUUCGGAAGCUGCUGGCAGAACGGAGGAAUGUGGAGGGAAAAUUGAAGAGAUGUGAUAUUAUAAAAGAUUACUCAGAUUAGGGGUUUCAGACAUACGUGCCUCUGUCUCGGUUUGGCCCGAUCUCUGUCCGAAAUUCCAACCACAACAUGGUCAAGAGUCACUUUCUCAGCACGUAUGAAGGUCUGUUAGAACUGGAGGCAAGUCUUUCUCCAUCUGUCAAGGAGACUUGAAUCAAAGUGUCAAGACCUAGUGACUAAAGGCUUCAUCGCACACUCAGCCCGCUCAUGAAGACUCAUCAGGCCCUGAAAGAGAAAACGGGAAAGAAGCCUCUGUGGAUCCUCUUUAAGACGGAAAAACCUGCUCCACGACCUGCAACCCCCGGGGUGGAAACCCCCAGAGAUACAGCCCGCGAUCAUGCUGUAGACA